rnacentral:rRNA from 1 species
UACGUAGGGCGCAAACGUUGUCCGGAUUCACUGGGUGUAAAGGGCGCGCAGGCGGGUUAGCAAGUCAGAGGUGAAAUCCUACAGCUUAACUGUAGAACUGCCUUUGAAACUGUUAAUCUUGAGUGCGGAAGAGAGAGACGGAAUUCCAGGUGUAGCGGUGAAAUGCGUAGAUAUCUGGAGGAACACCAGUUGCGAAGGCGGUCUCUUGGUCCUUUACUGACGCUCAGGCGCGAAAGCGUGGGGAGCAAACAGG